rnacentral:rRNA from 1 species
GGACUACAAGGGUAUCUAAUCCUGUUUGAUCCCCACGCUAUCGCGCUUGAGUGUCAGAUACGAGCCAGUGAGCCGCCUUCGCCACCGGUGUUCUUCCCAAUAUCUACGAAUUUCACCUCUACACUGGGAAUUCCACUCACCUCUCUCGUCCUCGAGCCAAACAGUUUCAAUGGCAGUUCCGGAGUUGAGCUCCGGGCUUUCACCACUGACUUGGAUGGCCACCUGCGCGCGCUUUACGCCCAGUAAUUCCGAACAACGCUAGCCCCCUUCGUAUUACCGCGGCUGCUGGCAC